rnacentral:rRNA from 1 species
AGAUUGAACGCUGGCGGCAUGCCUUACACAUGCAAGUCGAACGGUAGAGUAGCAAUACUUGAGAGUGGCGAACGGGUGAGUAAUAUAUCGGAACGUGCCCAGUCGUGGGGGAUAACGUAGAGAAAUUUACGCUAAUACCGCAUACGAUCUAUGGAUGAAAGCGGGGGACCGAAAGGCCUCGCGCGAUUGGAGCGGCCGAUGCAGAUUAGCUAGUGGUGGGGUAAAGCCCACCAAGCGACGAUCUGUAGCUGGUCUGAGAGGACGACCAGCCACACUGGAACUGAGACACGGUCCAGACUCCUACGGGA